AUUGAACGCUGGCGGCAGGCCUAACACAUGCAAGUCGAACGAGUGGCGGACGGGUGAGUAAUGUCUGGGAAACUGCCCGCUGGAGGGGGAUAACUACUGGAAACGGUAGCUAAUACCGCAUACCAUCAGAUGUGCCCAGAUGGGAUUGGCUUGUUGGUGGGGUAACGGCGCACCAAGGCGACGAUCCCUAGCUGGUCUGAGAGGAUGAAGAGCCACACGAGAAAUGCGACACGGUGCAGACGCCUAAGUGAGGCAGCGGUGGAGAUAAUUGCGCAGAGGGCACAAGGGUGAUGCAGCCAAGCCGCGGGUAUGUAGAGGGGCAUCGAGGUGUACAGUACUUUAAGCGUGGGAGCGUUACCCGCAGAAGAAGCACCGGCUAACUCCGUGCCAGCAGCCGCGGUAAUAC
rnacentral:rRNA from 1 species